AUGCAAUUGAUUCAAUUGGUUUUGAGAACUAUGGAUGAAUGGUGUUGUUGGGGUUUACAAUUUCAUCUUAUCCACUCUCAUAUAUCUACUCUUCUUAUUUAAUUCACUUAUUUAUCUAAUUGACAUGCAUACUUUCUUAAUUACCCUUAACCCAAUUCCUUGGUGAAAAGAGCCUAUUACUAAUUAUCGGCUUGCUAUCCCUAGCCUCCCCUAGUAACUAAUAAUGCAAUGCGUUCUGAAGCAAUUACAAUUGACCGUUUUACCCCUAUCCCUAGGCGAAAUUGGCAUAAUCAAGGAAUUUCCCACCAGUUCAUGACAUUACCGUACGUCCCCAUAUCGAGAAAGACAAACAACAUUUAUUGAAUGAGUUAAACAAUAAAAGCAUUGAGCGCAGAUGAGAACCCGACAAUUGAUAAAUAAGUAUAUGACAAGCAUAUGAAAUAAAUAAAUAAGAAUUUCAAUAUAUGAGAGUUUAAAAAGAUUAUAUUGUUCCCCAACAACAAAGGGUUUAGUUCACCAUAACCAUGGUGAAACUAGAUGAAAAUAAUGAAAGAAUGAAAGAGAUAACCCUAAACUUGGUUGAAUGGAGCCUAAGCAUCCAAGGGACCUCCUCCAAGGUGUGUGGAAUAGCUCUGGACGUUCUCUC
rnacentral:lncRNA from 1 species